rnacentral:rRNA from 1 species
AGCGAACGCUGGCGGCAGGCCUAACACAUGCAAGUCGAACGAACCUUUCGGGGUUAGUGGCGGACGGGUGAGUAACACGUGGGAACGUGCCCUUAGGUUCGGAAUAACUCAGGGAAACUUGUGCUAAUACCGAAUGUGCCCUUCGGGGGAAAGAUUAAUCGCCUUUAGAGCGGCCCGCGUCUGAUUAGCUAGUUGGUUGAGGUAAUGGCUCACCAAGGCGACGAUCAGUAGCUGGUCUGAGAGGAUGAUCAGCCACAUUGGGACUGAGACACGGCCCAAACUCCUACGGGAGGCAGCAGUGGGGAAUCUUGCGCAAUGGGCGAAAGCCUGACGCAGCCAUGCCGCGUGAAUGAUGAAGGUCUUAGGAUUGUAAAAUACUUUCACCGGGGACGAUAAUGACGGUACCCGGAGAAGAAGCCCCGGCUAACUUCGUG